UCGCUUCAUUGCUUGGCUUCUUCCCCAUUGGUUCUUCCCUUCUGCUUCCGUGGUCUCAGUUCUAGACUAGCUACCUAGCCAUGGGCGCCAUCGCAGGCAGAGCGCCUCAUCUCGAUGGGUGUUCGAGCGGUGUAGAUCGAGCUAGCGCGCGGGGACGUGGGUGGAAUGGAAGCCGACGGAACACCGCGAACGCACGGCGGGCCCUGCCGAGCCGACGCCAAGGGGAAGGAGGAGUGCACCGGCCGGCCUGCUCCAACCAACCUACUCAUGUGUCACUGGCUCACUGGUCACUGCCUCCUUGAGUCCUUGCUCACAACCCUCCUUCCUGUUUCUUCUCCCUCUCGUCCGUUCUAGAUUUAACUAGGCAUCAUAGGCUGGCUGAGUGAUUCAAUGCGUGGUCAAUUCGAUUCACAGGUAAGAGAGGAACACGGCGCACCGGCGAGCUUUAAUCCGGUCUCCCCCGCCGGGGAGGCAGUCCAUCGCUUCGUGCGCGCGCGGCCGCCUCCGUCGUCCACCGCGUGCGAAGAUAUAUGCCCAGAUGGAGGGCCAUCGCCGCCCGGCGCUUCCAAUGGGCGCUCGCGCCUGGCGGUGCCGCUGCAUGCGCGCUGCUUGAAAUUGCCUCCUGCUGCCUUGAAUUGCUUGCUGCUGAUGCCGCCGUUAAAUAAUCGUUCGUUCAUCAUCCAAUCCUUUCUGCUGCCUUUGACGGACUCAUGUUUCCCAUCGCAGGGAGGAUCUGCGCACGCAUUCUGCUAGGAUCGUAUGCAUUCUUACCCGCAAAAAAAAAAGGAUCGUAUGCAUUCCAAGAUAUCCUGUUACACUUGAGACCAUUUGCAACAUUUUAAAGAGGAAUAUUGUCAGACUGAGAGCACCAUGCAGAAUCUUUUUGUUUAAAAUAUUGAUGGGUCCCAACUUGAAAAUCAUGAUUACUUAGGUCAGUGUUCUAUAAUAUUCUUCAUGAUCAAAAUAAUCCUGCCGGAUGGUUGCAUAAGCAGUCUACCAUACAGAUCAAGAUAUUAAAACCACAAGCGUGAUAAAAUAUUUAAAAGCCUCCGUAUCAAGAGAAAUAUAGUACUAUUGGAUUAUCCCUAUACCUAUAUGCAGAUGAAAAAAGAAUAUGUCAUGUUUUUAGAAUAAUAUUCCAUACAAGAUUAGUUUUGGUUACCUUUUUUUCUCAACUGUGCAUGCAAGGAUGAGAAUGGAGGUAAUUAUGGAUAUAUGGCAAGUACUCCCCUGUAUUAAUGAGGUGAUGCUGUAACUGUGCUGAGGAGUUUGAAUAAACUGGGAACUUACAAUGACAACAUUUGAAUGGAGCAGAAGCGAGGAUAGUAUUUCAUGAUAGGAAUAUCAGCAUGAGGAAAAUCAAGUUGGGUUUGAAUGGUGAAUCUUCGUAAGUAGUCAUUCGGAGUCUAGUUAUGAUUCGGUAAUACCAAUGGACAUUGGAUUUAUCUAGUCUACCUAUUGUAAAAUAACUCCUUUACAAGUACCAAUUUUUUUUGUAAAUCCUAUUUGUUAAAACUGACAAUUUUCUUUCAGUGUUAGGCCAACGUAUAUCUUCUAUGAGAACAAGAAUGAAAACAGAAGCAAGAUAUUAUCCAAGUCAUACAUGUUCUAUGCAUGAGAUAACUAUUUGUCUACAAGCUUUACUAAGCUUAAACUAUCUUCUAGUGUUAAGUAUCCUCCUAUGCAAGGGGAGCACAUACUUGAUAAGAAGAUAAAAGCUCGAAGAUUUUAAAAAAUACUUAUCUUAACCAUAUUUUGUUAUACAUAUCGCAAUGAAGACAUAAAUUAGUCAACGAGCCUUUUCUAUUUCAGAUUCUGGGACCGCGUGUUAUACAUGUUCGUACAAUACUACCACCACAUGUCAUCAUCUGGUAUGAGAAUUGAGAAAUAGAUA